UUUGAUCUAUAUUUCUAUUCAAUAAGCAGGAAUGUGUGGUUGCCUGGAGAUUCACCUAAGCCUGAACAGCUUGUGUCCAUAAGCAAUACUCCCCUGUCAUUCCUAUUGCUGAAAUAGGAAACCGGUCUCAUUUAGCAUCGGAUCUGAAUUCUUUACCAGAAAUAUCACCUCCUGCUGAGAGCUUGCAGAAGCUGAGCUUGGAAGAGAAGCCUGCAGAAGUUACAUCGGAUAACAAACAUGGCGUGGUUUUCCCAGAUUACAUUCAAACUUUAGCUGCUGACUGCUCACAUUUGAGCUUUGGGACAUAUAAACCUGGAACACACGUUCCAAUUUCUGGGCCUGCAAUGUCUGAUUCCACAGAGAGUCACUUAUCUUUGUACGUCAAUACUGGACAAGGAUUUUUUAUCUUCUCAAUGUUAUGCAAUACGUAUUUGAUCUAUAUUUCUAUUCAAUAAGCAGGAAUGUGUGGUUGCCUGGAGAUUCACCUAAGCCUGAACAGCUUGGGUCCAUAAGCAAUACUCCCCUGUCAGCUUUUGGUGGUACGAAAAAUUGCUUGCCUGGACAGUUACAACAAGAGUUGGUACGAGGGAAUGUCCCUGCAGUAACUCAGCAACAUGAUUAUUUCUCUCACUUUUCUCUACCUGAUUCUACUUUAACGCAAUUCCAAGACCGUAAUAGUUCAUCAUCUAUUAUGACGCAUCAAAAUGCUUUGAAUGCUCCUUCCCUCCGGCAAGAACUGGUAAUCUUCUGUUAGUUCUGUACUGUUAAUCCUAUGGUUCCACGCAGUUGGGAGUACGUAAAAAAUGGAACCUAGUCCAUAGCAUGCUCUGAAACAUAUUAACUGGUUUUGUAAUGUAAGCAUACUAUGCUUGUCAAUAUUGUUGGGUGAAUUGUUCAAGCUGUAUCUUUUCCAAUGUGAUGCGUUAGUUUUCACCGGCUUUGAUGUUAAUAAAUUUGUCCACUUGUUGACUGUAGCAACUUGUGUUUAUACUGUUAACAAUUCAACUUGUUGAGGUCACCUGAGGAAAUUUUUAUGUUUGUUUUGGACAUGUGAUUACAGCGAGUGAAUGAUGUGAAUCCGAGCACAAUUCCAACCGACUUCUUGGCCUCUAAUUUGGAUUCUCUGCGAAACCAUGAUGAACUGCUUUCAACAUUUGGCUCAACCAAGCAAAUCCCCGUUUCACGCUAUGGAAAUAUUACAUCAUCAACUGGUAGUUCGUCCAUUUUGAUCCCAGAG
rnacentral:lncRNA from 1 species